rnacentral:rRNA from 1 species
GACGAACGCUGGCGGCGUGCUUAACACAUGCAAGUCGAGCGGUAAGGCCCUUUCGGGGGUACACGAGCGGCGAACGGGUGAGUAACACGUGGGUGACCUGCCCUUAGCUCUGGGAUAAGCCUGGGAAACUGGGUCUAAUACCGGAUAUGACUCCAUAACGCAUGUUGUGGGGUGGAAAGCCUUGUGCGGCUAGGGAUGGGCCCGCGGCCUAUCAGCUUGUCGGUGGAGUGAUGGCCUACCAAGGCGACGACGGGUAGCCGGCCUGAGAGGGCGACCGGCCACACUGGGACUGAGACACGGCCCAGACUCCUACGGGAGGCAGCAGUGGGGAAUCUUGCGCAAUGGGCGAAAGCCUGACGCAGCGACGCCGC